rnacentral:lncRNA from 12 species
CCACUGUCCAGCUCUUUUUUCCAUAUACAAUUUUCAGACAUGGGGUGGACUAAAAUAAAAAACCUGCUGAUGCAAGGAUGAUUUUUGGGAACAGGCUGGCCAGGUGUGCUUUGGUUUUCUCAUUAUGUUCAAUCAGGCUUCUUUGGCUGACUGCAAUGCACUUUUUGUGGGUGAUUUAAUUUUCCUUCCUGGUAUAGAUUGAGUUGCAAUCAGCCUGCAUUCAAGCAAUAUACUCUGAGGAGAUGGAGGAGGAAACGUCCCUGCAAAACUCAGCUCAUCCAGAGAGAUAUGAGCAGGACUGAGUCAUCUUCUCACCUUGUCCCACAGCAAAACUGAUGAUACAUGUCUGAGGAAGAAUUCCUUUGUGGUGUGGAAACUGCUCCUGGAAAGUCACUGCAAGCAUUACACAAGGGGCCAUCCAUGGUGUUCUGGAAGAGACCUAGAGGAGAUGCUCCAACCCUCGGAUCGCCCUUGCGGCCUCCUCUGGACUCGCUCACGAAGACUCCUAACCCUUAGCCGUGACCCCUGGUGAGAGAGACGUGCGGGGCGCUGCCGGAGGCGCUGCGGGCGGUCCGGGGCGGUGCGGGGCGGUGCUGGGACCCCCCCCCCCCCCCCCCCCCCCCCCCCCCCCCCCCCCCCCCCCCCCCCCCCCCCCCCCCCCCCCCCC